rnacentral:rRNA from 1 species
AUGGUGGAAGGCUCAGCAAGCGACAUCACAAACUUGAAGUUCCUCAUGCUCUGCUUUCAAUAGAUGUCUGGCCUCGGGAUUAAUUUUGAUAAGAGUGCGGUGAUGGUCUUGGGCUACUCCCAAGACGAACGGCAGAGCAUCACGGACCGUCUUAACUGUCAGUUCGGGAGCUUCCUCAUGACUUAUUUGGGAAUCCCCAUUAGUGACACGUGGCUCACGGUGGCCGAGUUGCGCCCCAUGGUGGGCAAGCUCCAGCACCGCAUUGAGCCUUGGUAGGGGCGGUGGCUCUCUAAAGCAGCCCGGACUGUGCUCAUUAACUCGUCCCUAUCCAGCCCGCUCCUAUUCAUUAUGAGCUUCUACAGCCUGCCUGAGACUCUGCACCAUGAGAUUGCCAGAGUCCAGGGGCGCUUCUUCUGGGUUGGCGAGGGCGAUAAGCAGAAGACCACAUGGUUCGGUGGAUGGAGAUCUGUAAACCUUGCGAUCAGGGUGGACUCGGGAUCAUGUCCUCCAAACGCAUGA